rnacentral:rRNA from 1 species
CGGACGGGUGAGUAACGCGUGGGUAACCUGCCUCACACAGGGGGAUAACAGUUAGAAAUGACUGCUAAUACCGCAUAAGCGCACAAAACCGCAUGGUUUGGUGUGAAAAACUGAGGUGGUAUGAGAUGGACCCGCGUCUGAUUAGCUAGUUGGAGAGGUAACGGCUCACCAAGGCAACGAUCAGUAGCCGACCUGAGAGGGUGACCGGCCACAUUGGGACUGAGACACGGCCCAAACUCCUACGGAAGGCAGCAG